AUGAAUUGGAUACUUCAAGAAGAUGAACAAGCUCAAGGAGAUGAAGAAGAUCAAGAAGAUGUCGCGGGUAAACAGAAAAGAAGAGAAUUGUCAGAUAAGGAGAGGCAUGGUGUUUACUUUGCCUUGCUGGUAUUCGAGCUCAGAGAUGGAUCUGUUCAACCAGACGACAAGCUGCUAGUUUCAACCUUGUUGAACAUAAGUGUACGAUCUGUUGAAAGAAUCUGGGAAGACGCCAAAAAUCAUAUUGCCGAGGGCAAAGAAGUAGAUGUCUCAAACAAGAAGAAAAGAAGAUCUUGCCGAAAGAGAAAAGAGUUGGAUCUUGCAAGGACCUCAACAAUGCCACCGAAUAGAAGAAGGACAAUUCAAUCUCUGGCACGAUCUCUAGGUGUGGCCCGAUCGACCCUACAUAAGAGGUUCCAGUUGAAUGAGCUCAACCGCAUCACAAGCACUGUGAAGCCUCACCUCAAGCCAGAGAACAAGCUUGCGAGAUUAAAAUUUUGCAUGUCCAUGCUCGAUGACAAGUGGAUCUCAACUUCCUGA
rnacentral:rRNA from 1 species